rnacentral:rRNA from 1 species
UUUUCUGCCACCGAAUACAUUAGCAUGGGAUAAUGGAAUAGGACCCUGUCCUCCUAUUUUCAGUUGGUUUUGGCAGCGCGAGGACUAGGGUAAUGAUUAAUAGGGAUAGUUGGGGGCAUUAAUAUUUAAUUGUCAGAGGUGAAAUUCUUGGAUUUAUGAAAGAUUAACUUCUGCGAAAGCAUCUGCCAAGGAUGUUUUCAUUAAUCAAGAACGAAAGUUAGGGGAUCGAAGACGAUCAGAUACCGUCGUAGUCUUAACCAUAAACGAUGCCGACCAGCGAUUAGGAGACGUUGAAUACAAAACACCACCAUCGGCGCGGUCGUCCUUGGCGCGUUCGUGUUCACGCACGAGCGCGCGAGG